UACGAAGGGGGCUAGCGUUGUUCGGAAUUACUGGGCGUAAAGCGCGCGCAGGCGGUCUUCCAAGUCAGUGGUGAAAGCCCGGAGCUCAACUCCGGAAUUGCCAUUGAAACUGUUAGACUUGAGGAUGAGAGAGGUGAGUGGAAUUCCCAGUGUAGAGGUGAAAUUCGUAGAUAUUGGGAAGAACACCGGUGGCGAAGGCGGCUCACUGGCUCAUUACUGACGCUCAGGCACGAUAGCGUGGGGAUCAAACAGG
rnacentral:rRNA from 1 species